GGGAUCAUCCGCCCUCAAAUAGGAUCUUAUUUUCAAAGUUAUUGUUGAAGACAGGCGCCCACCUGAAUAACGAGAGGAAUACAUUUCUGUCUUUUCAUUUCUGUUCUAGGUCACCCACCAGUAUAAUGCGGGCCUAUCAUUUUUCAUAUCUUUAGCACCAGGCGCCCACCUGUAUAAUGAAAGGAAUACACUUCAGUCUUUAAAUCUCAUACCAGGCGCCCACCUGUAUAACGAGAGGAAUAUAUAUCAGUCUUUAAAUCUCAUACCAGGCGCCCACCUGUAUAACGAGAGGAAUACUUUUCAGUUUUAGUUUAAACAGGCGCCCACCUGAAUAACGAGAGGAAUACUUUUAUGUCUUAGUUUAGACAGGCGCCCACCUAAAUAACGAGAGGAAUACGUUUUGUCUGUGCAUUUCAUAUUUUAGGUGCCCACCUGUAUAACAAGGGAAUACAUUUUGUGUCUUUACCAUUAGGCGCUCACAUGUAUAACAAGGGAAUACAUUCCACGUCUUUACCCAUAUGAGAUGC
rnacentral:lncRNA from 1 species